UGGAGCAAUUGAUCGGCCUUAAACAAGCUGGCAUUUGUGGGUUAUUCAGUGUCAGGGGCGGGGGAAGAGACGCCAUUGAGGCGGUAUAAAUCGGUAGCGCGGCGGUACUGCGGCCUUUUGUGUCCCAGAGUGAGGAAGGUCUGAAGUUUAGUGGAUUGACGUGUGCUCAUUGUUUUCACAGGAGCAUCACCACACUCUGGCUAAUUUGUUAGGUACAUCUUCUAACGGUCAAGAGGUCCAGUUCUGACCAAACGGCAGCAUGGAGAAGAAAUGUGAUCUAAGUGACUUUGAACGUGGAAUGAUUAUUGGUGCCAGGCUGAGCGGUCUGAGCAUCUCAAAAACUGCUGAUCUCCUGGGCUUUUCACGCACAACAGUCUCUAAAGUUUAUAAAGAAUGGUGUGAAAAACAGAAAACCUCCUUUGAGCGGCAGUUCUGUGGGUGAAAAUGCCUUGUUCAUGAGGUCUGGAGAUUGGCCAGACUAGUUCAAGCAGAUGGAAAGGCAACAGUAACUCAAAUAGCUGUUACCACAGUGAUGUGCAGAAGGGCAUUUCUGAACAUGCAACUCAUUGAAUCUUGAAGUGGAUGGGUUACAGCAGCAGAAGACUGCACUGGGUUCCACACCUGAGUGGAUAUUGAAACAAUAUAUUUACCAUUCCUGAAAUGUAUAAUGCUCUUAAAACUAAAUUAGAGACUUGUACUGAGAUUAGAUGAAAUAUGUUAGCUGUUAGAAGUAAAAUAAAACAAUAGUGGAAAUGUUGAAUAGCUUGAUGUUUUAGCCAUUAUUCUUUCAAUUGAGCUGUAUCUUUUGACCACAUUGGAAAACAAUCUUGAAUUAAUAUGUUAAUUGCUGCUGAUUUUCUGAGUAAUGUGGGAAGGAAUGAUUACUUUGUCUUGAUGAUCCAUUUUUCCCUCUGUUCUGAAAAACUCUUUUAAUACAUCAAGAACUGUUCAUAGUCUGGAAUGGUGUUUGUAGAUAUGUCAGGUGUUUAAGAUCUAAAUUGAGUGUUGCUUGACCAGUGUUUCUGAUCAUUUUCUGCUUAAUUUCAAAUAUUAGGCACUUGAAGGUUUUUUUUGCUUUGUACUAAUGCAAUGGAAUACUUGACAAUCGCAAUGAUUUUGCUAUAGCUUGGGAAUAAAAUAAAACCUUGGUUCUUGA